rnacentral:rRNA from 1 species
UACGAGGGGAGCAAGCGUUGUUCGGAUUUACUGGGCGUAAAGGGCGCGUAGGCGGUCGUGACAAGUCACUUGUGAAAUCUCCGGGCUUAACUCGGAACGGUCAAGUGAUACUGUCGGACUAGAGUACAGAAGGGGCAACUGGAAUUCUCGGUGUAGCGGUGAAAUGCGUAGAUAUCGAGAGGAACACCUGCGGCGAAGGCGGGUUGCUGGGCUGAUACUGACGCUGAUGCGCGAAAGCCAGGGGAGCAAACGGG